UACGUAGGGUGCAAGCGUUAAUCGGAAUUACUGGGCGUAAAGCGUGCGCAGGCGGUUGUGCAAGACAGAUGUGAAAUCCCCGGGCUCAACCUGGGGAACUGCAUUUGUGACUGCACGGCUGGAGUGCGGCAGAGGGGGAUGGAAUUCCGCGUGUAGCAGUGAAAUGCGUAGAUAUGCGGAGGAACACCGAUGGCGAAGGCAAUCCCCUGGGCCUGCACUGACGCUCAUGCACGAAAGCGUGGGGAGCAAACAGG
rnacentral:rRNA from 1 species